GACGAACGCUGGCGGCGUGCCUAAUACAUGCAAGUAGAACGCACAGUUUAUACCGUAGCUUGCUCCACCAUAGACUGUGAGUUGCGAACGGGUGAGUAACGCGUAGGUAACCUGCCUGGUAGCGGGGGAUAACUAUUGGAAACGAUAGCUAAUACCGCAUAAUAUUAAUUAUUGCAUGAUAAUUAAUUGAAAGGUGCAAUUGCACCACUACCAGAUGGACCUGCGUUGUAUUAGCUAGUAGGUGAGGUAACGGCUCACCUAGGCGACGAUACAUAGCCGACCUGAGAGGGGGAUCGGCCACACUGGGACUGAGACACGGCCCAGACUCCUACGGGAGGCAGCAGUAGGGAAUCUUCGGCAAUGGACGAAAGUCUGACCGAGCAACGCCGCGUGAGUGAAGAAGGUUGUCGGAUCGUAAAGCUCUGUUGUAAGAGAAGAACGGGUGUGAGAGUGGAAAGUUCGCACUGUGACGGUAUCUUACCAGAAAGGGACGGCUAACUACGUG
rnacentral:rRNA from 1 species